CUGGCAAAUCAGAUAAAGGGUGACGUUAUAGUCACAUCGCCACCAUGGGGCGGUCCAGAAUACAACAAAAUGGAUGUUAUCGAAAAUGUGUUUAUGGACAGGUACCUCAAAUCGACGUUGCUGUAUGUCCGGUCCAAUAAUAACAAUGGCGUAUCAGACGUCGCUCCCAAACCGGUCGAUAUCCAUCUGCAUAACUCAUUCCACAAGAAUGAGCGGUAUAGUUUGAAGACUUACCAAAGUUAUCUGGUGGAUGACGAUACGUUGGUGAGCAGCCUUCACACAUCGGUCUGAUGUACCUAAGGAAAGUUAUUAUUGGAUCGGUCAUAAUUUACGUUGAGAAGUUAUCUGUCCAUAAACUUAUUUUCAGAUUUGUAGGUCAAUUCCGUCGUCAUUUUUUAAUCAUUCUUUGUUUUUAUUAAUUUUGAGGUGUAACAGCAUUUUAGGGGCUAUUGUAAUUCUCACUUCCAGGACUUUAUCAUACAUACAGCCUACAGCCCGAUGACCUACGUUUUUGUGUAUUCUGGUCUACCCUAUGAUGGCCGCGAAGUAACGAUCACGUCACCGUUUAUCAGAUUGCCCAGUUUGAAAGAGUCUCCAACAAUUUCAUCGGAUAGGUACGCCAUAAAUCGUGGCAUAGCGCUGGGCCAGCAUCAUUUUGUCCGGAUCAAUAUCUACAAAAAUGACAUCCCAAUUAUUAGAAGCUAAUAAUAUAGUGUCUUUGUCGAACAGUUCAGCUGUACGAAGUUUCCGCUGUGCCACAAAACGGGUCGACGCCGCGCCGGUCGCUGAACAUGGGAAGUCCUCAAGUCCACCCAGCAUCGUAUUGAUGAAUCAACAAUACAUCUUACAUCUUACACCUAUCAUUGCAAUCUUAUAAUUAUUCACCUGAAUGCAUGUAAUCCUGAAUGUACAGAUAAUUUAUUACUACCCAUCUACAAAGUCAACACUGUAUUAAUAAAAUUAUUUAUUGUUAAAAUAAAA